UCUAGUUCUAUAAAGUUCUGUGAACACUUUGAAGUCUUAUCUUUGUAUGAGUUUGGGAAUGUUUCUUAAAGAGACAGACUUAAUCCUCAGUUAAUCUACAUUUAGGAGCCAGCAGACUCUGCCAACUGUGCCAUAGUCACUUCCUGAAGCAGACUUCAGAUUCAGAUUCAGAAUAACCUGUCACAGGAAUUUAUACGUUCUGCCCGUAAACUUCGUGGGUAUCCUCCAGGUGCUCUGGUUUCCUCCCACAGUCCAAAGAUGUAGUGGGAAGAAGAUCACUCUCACUGGAGGCUGGAACUACGCAGAGGUCUAAAAAGAGGAGAAGAGAAGCUGAGGCUGGCUGCUGAAGAAAAGUGCUCUCAUCGGAAAAACAGCACAAGACAACGCUGGAGGACAGCGCCUUCAAAUGCAGUCGCUGCAGCCGCGACUGUCACUCCCGUGUGGGCCUCUACAGCCACAACAGACGCUGCUCUAACACAGACUGAAGCAAGACUUUCCAGGCGCAGAUCCGUGGUCUCGCGAGACUAACGGAUGCCACCACUAGCACCGCCAUUUUGUUUUAUGUGCUGUGCGUGAUGUAUGUAUUAUGAGUGCUCUAUGGUGCAGAGAAACACUGUUUUGUUUGGUUGUAUAUAGUCAGAUGACAUUAAACUUGAA